ACUUGUGCCUGCAUAUUCUGAACUACAAUCUUGCUUUCUCCCAUUGAGCAGCAGCAAAAUGUCUUUUAUCAUUUGAGGCAUUAAAUAACUCCAGGGAAAGAGAGCUCCAUGGAAAGAACACCACCCUGCCCUCCUACUAUUCACUAAUUUGAAGUAAUUUCUGAGCGUAAUUUAUCUCUGAAGAAUGUAAUGCCAAAGUCAGGUGAAAAUGGACUUCCCUCACUGAAGAGACAUCAUCCAAAAUGGGGUAGGAGCUGGAUGCUGACAGAGAACUUCUGGGUGGCACUCAGGCCAACAUGCAUGCUGCUCUAACGUCAGCAGCCUGUGCCAAAUAUGUGUGGAUGUCUUGCUGAACUGGAUGGAGGAAUUUUGGCCUGACCCAAGGGGAGACAUCUUUCAAAAGGCAGUCAUAGCAAGACUGAAGGCUUCUCCCGGGACCAGAAAAAGGAAUGGACAUAUUAGAAGAAUCAGACAGCUGCAUGGAUGGGAGAAGUCAUAAAACCUAUGUUUCUGAUCUCAGUGGAGUAUUACAGUAAACGUACCUCAUAUAUUUGCCUGCUGAGAAAAUAUGCUGCUGUUCUUCAAGGAAGGACAGAAGAUUUAUUUCUUUUCUUUGUAUUCUGCACAUGACUUCAAUAGCUUCAUUGAAGAUUAUUGUACCCGGAUACCACUUCAGGGAGGAACUUAAACCACCAUCACAAGGAAAGAUUUUUCUUUAGGAAAAAAUGGAAGAAGUGAUGACUUACAUAGCAUGACUUUUAGACUGGGCAACGAAGAAUCAGCAUCUUCACUGUAAUGGUCUUUUCAAUAGUUAUGAUCAAUGCAAAUUGAAAGUUUGGGGGGAUUUCUAUUUAAAAUGUAAGUGAAAACAGGUUUUUGAACUUACGCAUUUGCAUGCUACUCUGCUUUAGCAAUGCAUGAGGGCAACGUUAGUGCAUUGAUUGCCUGGAUGGAAAGUCCUGGCUGAAUUAUGUUAAAAUUAGGGCUUUCACUCUUCAUUACUGUGAGUAUUGUGUAUUUAGUUACUCUUGCAUCAAGUGGAUGUAAAAUGUCACUUCUGUCAGAGGGUGUUCUGAUUGAGUACACAAAUUACAAAUUAAUUCAAAGUAGCUGCAGACAUCAAGCGACACUUUGUGCUCAAGUCUAAUCAACACUUACAUGUAUGUUUAUUUGAUGCAUAUUACUUAAAACAUUAACGUGACCUCCUGUAAGUGGACUGAGCUGAGCCAUUAGCAGGAAUUCAGGUCCAAACAUUCAAAAAUCAGAAGCCAAAAGUGUUUUAAACAGUGCCAAUCCUGUAAGACCUCAAUUUUCUCUCUUGAAAGCAACUACUCUGUAAAGAGAUACUCUGCAGGCCACUUGCCUGAAAAGCAAAGCUAAGAAGAAAUUAGCAAGAGUAAAGUAAUCCUUUAAUAUGCUUCUCCCUGUGCCUAAAAAUGCGGGUGACAGUCUUGCCCCUCAGACAGUGUCCAUAGUAAUGUAAAUAUAAAAGCCACGCCAAAAUGAGAGGUGAAGCAUUACUAUGUGACUUGUUCCUACUUAUCUCUCAUGUACAGCCACCAUGGCCUUUUAUUUCAUGCUCAGCUAAUACAAAUCUGCAUUUCAAAGAAACGAAUAAAACUUCACAAAACACACUAUUUGCUUUAUUUAAAAUCUCCUCAGUUGCCUUUUUAUAGUUUCAGCUAAAUCUAUUAAAAUCACACAGAAUGACAUCUUACGAGGACAGCAAUUACUUGAAAAAGUAACUUACCAUGACAAUAGAUGGCUGUACACCCUUUGGAAAAGUGUCACUUUUUCAGACAAAAGGCAUUUGUCAUAUCAAACUAGAUAUCAUCAAGUAAUCUGUUAUGAACUUCUUAACAUGGAAAGGGAACUAGAAACCUUUCUACUUACUUUUUGGUAGCUGCUAGUUUGCAGAAGUGUGGCUUCAGGGACCUUAGUGUGAAUAUUCUUCUUUCCUUUUGCAAAAUCCUGCCUAGGCCAGCUGUAGCACAUGGCAAACUUGCUGAAAACAUGCCACUAAGGAAAGCAGAGCAUUACACUCGCACAGCAUGCAUUCCCUUAUUUGGAACUGUUUGCCUGUACCUGUCCAUGCGAUAUCCCAGGAGGCAGACUGAUACAGGGGGAAAUAAAUGAGCAACUCCACUCGAAACCCCAGUUGAAGUCUCCCUCUCCCUGACUCCUGGCUCUGUUUUUGCUGAGUUCUGUGCAGCCAUCUGUAUGCCUCCUCAGUGGGAGUGAAACGCGGCUGAAUUAAACUCCCCCAUUCAUUU
ensembl:lncRNA